UCGAACGUGAAUUUUCCUUCGGGAGAAUGAAAGUGGCAAACGGGUGAGUAGCACGUUGGUGACCUACCCCCCGGUGGGGGAUAACCCUGGGAAACCAGGGCUAAUACCGCGGAUGUCGGGACUGUUAGAGGGUCUUGACUAAAACUGAGGUGCCGGGGGAGGGGCCUGCGGGCUAUCAGCUAGUUGGUGGGGUAAAGGCCUACCAAGGCGCAGACGGCUAGGGGGCGUGAGAGCGCGACCCCCCACAAGGGAACUGAGACACGGUCCCUACUCCUACGGGAGGCAGCAGUGAGGAAUAUUGCCCAAUGGAGGAAACUCUGAGGCAGCAACGCCGCGUGAACGAUGACGGCCUUCGGGUUGUAAAGUUCUUUUCUCAGGGACGAUGAUGACGGUACCUGAGGAAUAAGUCCCGGCUAACUACGUGCCAGCAGCCGCGGUAAAACGUAGGGGACGAGCGUUA
rnacentral:rRNA from 1 species